rnacentral:lncRNA from 10 species
GACUGCUGUGUGUGAAGCACUCAAGAGGGCCCCUACAACCAACCUGCCAGGAGUCGGCUCCUGAAAACAGGGUCGGAAAAGGGGUCUGGCACUCUUCCUCAUGCUUACGAGAUGGCUGCUGGAAUUCCAGGAAUCACAUGCAAAUUCUAGUCAGGAGCAAAGAGGAAGAGACACAGUGAAAAGGGGUAUACAGCGGCAGAAGGAAGCUCCUCAAAUGAACUCUGCUAGAACUCUAGCCAGUAGCUUCUCCUUCUAUCACAGUGGCCAGAACUGUGACAAGUGACCAUCCUUAGGGGAAAAAAGAUGCUGAGAAAUGUGAAUUUUGUUGCCACCUUACAUUUUCAAAGGAGUUCCAUUCGUAAGUACAGAACGCUCAGAGAAGAGGCAGCAGAUCUAGGAUAUGGAGCAGCAGCUCUUAAGGGCACAGUGGGAAGGUUUCAAGACUGAGGAGGAUCUUGGAUUUGGGUAGGGGAAGGCAGUUCACAGUAUUGUGGAGGAAAUGCUGUGAAAGAGAAAGUGGAAGGCAUGGAAGCUUAAACUUUUAAUAUGACUGGUGAAUACAAGGAUGAAGGGCAAAGGGAAUUCAGACUCAUGGUGGUCAGAUUAAGACCUUCAGCGGCUCUGUCUCCCAGCCCCACAUACCCACUUCCAUGUUCUGCUCUUUACUGAAGCUGAAAGUCUGCAACCUUCAUUCUCUGACUCCCUUACAUUUUCUUAGGCUUCUUGCUAGCUUCUGCCAAAAAGAGGCCCUGGCAGGAGAUUAGAUGGCAGGAGGCAGAGGUAAGGAUUCCAUGUUAACAGGUGCUGGAAGUUGCUGGUGUGGCAAUGAGAACUGGGCCCCGGUCAAGGCAGCACUACUUUGGUAGAUCCAGAAUCAACCAUGAUAACCGUGACAGUGUCUUCAACAGUGCAGCAGUAGACACAGGCCCCUGGUGCUGGAAUCCAAUACAGGGACAGGAGCAGCACGGAGUCACGGAACACCGUCUUGCCUUCAUGUCACUUUACCAUUUCUUCUUUCUCCCUCUUACUCUACCAGCUACCUGUGGAGAUGUUGAACCUUUUAUCUGUCGCUGUCUGCUUAGGAACAGAAGAAAAGGCAGCUGAUUGCUUGACUCAGCUUUCAGCUUGAUUUUUUUCCUUUGGCAGAGUGAAUUGGGGUCCCAGGUGUUCAUUUUCCUUUUGUAGUACCUUUCCUCAGCAUGCAAUUAAUACAAAAAGAACAAUAAACCUUAACAAAGUUUGGCUUGUAUUA